UACGUAGGUGGCAAGCGUUGUCCGGAUUUACUGGGCGUAAAGAGCGCGCAGGCGGUCGUUCAAGUCGCGUGUGAAAGCCCCCGGCUCAACUGGGGAGGGUCACGCGAUACUGAUCGACUCGAAGGCAGGAGAGGGUAGUGGAAUUCCCGGUGUAGUGGUGAAAUGCGUAGAUAUUCGGAGGAACACCAGUGGCGAAGGCGGCUCACUGGUCCGGUACUGACGCUGAGGUGCGAAAGCGUGGGGAGCAAACAGG
rnacentral:rRNA from 1 species